rnacentral:lncRNA from 1 species
GCUACGAGUGAUUACAUGAUACAAGUUUUUUUGAAUGUGAAUGCAAGUGAUUUUGAAUGUAAAAACAUGUGGAAUGUGUUGAAUUACUACUUUUGAGACUCCUAGGCUCGUUUGUAUGAACCUUUUGCAAUGUUGGCUUAUUGUUGAAUUCAUUCAAUUACAUUAUUUAGGGUUUAUGUGGAUCCUACUUGACUUGAGCUUAUGGGUUGUGUGAUGUGAGGCUUUUUUGUAUAGUCCUUAUUGUAUAGUAAUGUCUGAAAGUUGCCUGGUAUUUAUGCAAAGACUAUAAAGAGUGUCAGCUUUAGAAGAUGAUAUAGGCAAUUCUUUAAUAGCAACAUUUUAUACCAUCUAUUAUCUACCUUUUUGCAUAAUCUUAGUUAGUCUCAUUGACCUUUUAACCUAUUCUAUGGAAGCCCAUGUGUAGCCUAUUCUCCUUCUUUCAUUAUUUGACAUUAGAUCCAAAGUUUUUUUAAGAUUAAUUAAAAAAUUAAUAUGGUAAAGAAAUGUAAAAUUGAAGAAGGAAAAGGUGAAUAUAAAGCUCCAAAAUAGUACUAUUGGUGUUGAAAAUGUUUAUGUGAUGUGGUUAAGAGUAAUUUAAUGAAAACUAAAAAAUUAAUAAAAAAAAUGAAUCAUAAGUUAAUAGAGAAUACUCCCUACUUACUAUGUGUGAACUAGCUUACAGAUAUAGGGCAAAACAAAUGAGACAUAAGAAGUUAGAAAUGGUGAGAAAUUAGCUUUGUGAGAGGAUUCAAAGUACAAUGCGAUGUCUUAGAGCGCUUAGGAAAGAUAGUCACUCUUACUAGACAAAUUAGUUCCUAACUGUCACUUAGCCGACAUUACAACCAAUAAAGUUCUAUUUGAUCUUGGUACUUGAUUUUCUGAUAUUAGUAGAGUACUACACUAAGGGCAAGCCAAUGGUUCAUCUUAUAUUCCCGGCUGAAUUGUUAAAUUACGUGGAGAUUCUACGUGAUCAAAUAAGGACUACUAUUUUAUUAUUAAUUUAAUGUUUAACUAAGUGAUAAAAUAACUAAUGAACAAAAUGUGUUAUUUUAUUAUUUCUAAUUGUUAUUAUCUAAGUGAUAAAAACAUUUAAUUAGAUAAAAGAGGAGAAAGAAAUGACAUAAUUUGUAAUAAAAGAGGACUGCUUACGUAACAAACUAACUACCCCAAAUAAAUCAGCAUGCAAGGCAAAUAAAAGAAUGAAAAUAAUUCAUCAAAUCAAACAAAGAAAUGUUUUUGGUCUCAUUCGGAUCAGAACUCCAACUUGUUUAAUCAUCAUCUGACCCACCAUCCAAACUGUUAGACAAGUCAUGUCUUAUCUUUAAUGUCUGUUGGAGAUCAUCACUUCUGAAUGACUACCCGUCCCACUCCAUCUAGACUGGAUGUCAAAUCUAAAGGCAUUCUAGAACAAGGAUAAAACUAACGUCUUUGGAAUACCUAUCGCCCGAGCUAUCGUCCAAAAGAUAUUAGACUUUAUUAUUUUGGUUUUGUGGUCUAGACAAAAUAAAACUUUGUUGCCUAGGACUCAAAGCGCGUACCAAUGGUCUCUUGGUUAUUAAGAGUUGAUUAAUUUGAUAAACAUUCAACAACAAAUAAUUAUUUAUUUUUUGUCAUUAAUCUAUAGGCAUGAUAUCUAAGUGUUCAACAAGUGCUAGUGUGACAAAAUGUAGAUGUGAUUCGUGUGUGUAACCCUGUGUUGUCAAGUUGUUAAGAGAGAGUGUCAAAAGUGUGGUAAAUAUGUCAAGAAAUUGUGCUAACGAGUUAAGUGUUUAAACUAAUGAGAAUAUGGGAAAUUAAAAAAAAAAAAAAAACUGCAAUAAUAUGCUAAGGAACAUAAUGAUGCACUUAACCUAGUGUUUAACAUAUUGAGAAUGCUCAAAAACAUUCUUUUUAACAUGCUGACAAUUGUGUCAUUGGAAAAAUUUCAUACUGACAUGCUGAAGAAAUGUAAUAACAUGCUGAAAAUGCCUAAAAUUUGAUACUUUAAGAUGCUGAAAAUUAUGUUAAUAGUUAAGGAAAUUCAUAUUAAUAUAAUGAAGAAAUCUAAUAACACGCUGAAAAUGCCUAAAAUUUGAUAUUUUAACAUGCUGAAAAUUAUGUAAAUAGUGCAGGAAUUUCGUAUUAAUAUAAUGCAAUAACAUGCUGAAAAAUGCUUAAAAUUUGAUAUUUUAACACGCUGAAAAAUGCUUAAAAUUUGAUAUUUUAACAUGCUGAAAAAUUAUUAAAUGAAACAAAUUUAAUGGUUAACAUGCUCAUCAAAUUAUCAUGCUUAAAUAUUGUUAGCACGUUGAAAACCACACGAUGUCAUACUUAAUUCGAAUGUCUAACAUGCUAAAAUGUAUUAAUGUGCCUAAAUUAAUUGUCGGAUAGUGAUUUAAUGCUAGAUAUUGAAUGCAAAAAAUUCAGUUCAUGAGUUUAUUUGAACGUUGAAAAUUAAAAUAUAAUCAUCGAGAAUGUGAACAAAUGCCAAAAUACCAUUCGUAAUAUGUCAAAUUUUUGCUAAACAUGCAAAAGUAAAUGUGUUGCAAGCAUAUUCAAACUUGAUCUUGAUACUGCGAAAUUAGUUAAACUCCUAAAAUGAUGAUUUCUGAGUGAUAAGCAAUUUAAUUAAUGAAUCCUAGAUUGUGUUAUCUAGGUGAUUCAUGUAGCAUUUAAAGCAUAUAUACCUAAGUUGUGUUAGCCUAUGUGAUUCAUAUAAAUCCCCGCCCAGAAGCAGUCCCCAAAAUUUAUUAUUACAUUACUAUUGUUUGUACUAUAAUAUUAUAUGCUCAUGGCUAACAAAAGAUUAAUAAAAGAGAAUGGUAGACUAAUGAGAAAGAAACAACACCCAUCCAAAAACACUGACAAAUCUUCUGAUAUCGCUUAGUACCUGUCAAAUCCGACCAAAAGAGCAGGGUAAGCACAAAAAGGAACACUCGAACAUAUGAACAUGCUGUCUUAAACAGAAGCACAAAGGCAUCACAACCAAGCACAACAUCAUCAAUCUCAUUAGUUCCUAUAAACAUGCUUUCUAUGUUUUUCCAUAACAAAUACUAUGGAAUAAGAAUACAAUGCAUCGAUUAGUGACUUAUCGUUACCGGUUGACGAUAGCUAAUAAUAAUGAAAUGAAAACCAAGGAUGUACGCAAUUCGAGAAUGAAUUUCCACCGAAAGGUCAAGAUUAAUUCUCCAAAGAUAAGUACAGAAAUAAUAAAUUAAAAUUAUUUAUUUGUUUAAAGCUUUCGUGUGAGAGAGUGUGAGUUGUAAAACUUGUCUUUCCUUGGGAAUGAGGAUGAAGGGUGGUUUAUAUAGAAAAAGGGUUCAUAGGAUAAAAGGAAGAAAUAUUUUAAAAUCAAUCAGAAUCAAUCAUGGAGAAGGAGAAUAUUUUAACAAUCAGUCAGAAUAUUUUCUUUAAUUAGAAAAAGAUUGAAUCAAUUUUAGGAUAUAAAAAGAACUAAUUUACCAUAAACACUUGUAUCAAACAACAAUGACAGAUUAGGCAAAGUUCAGUCAAGGCAAUAAAAGGAAAACAAAUAUUCAAUGCAAUUAGUCAAGGAUAUUUUCUAUAAACAUAAAAUCAAUUUACUAAUAAUAUUCAAUCAAAGAAAAAUCAAUCCCUCCAAUUUCAUUUUUCAACUAACACAAUUAAGAGUAUGAAAUCCUGUAAAAGUUCAGCCAAAGAAAUAAGAGAAUAUUUGAUAAGUCAAUCAGGCUAUUAAUUUACUUAAACAAAAUGCUAUAAUCAAUUAUGUCAAAAUUUAUCCCCAAGAAAAUAAAAGGAAAAGCCAAUAUUUAGAAAAUCAAUUAAUCACCAACAUGUAUAACUAAACAUAAUCUGUCAAGGUAACAUUCAUCAUAAUCAAAGUUAGAUGAGUCAAGUUUACCAAAUGGAGGCGAAUAAGUGAAGGAAUAAUGAAAUCAAGGAGUUCACUCAAAGACAUACUAACCUCACGAUUUUGAAACUAAGUCAUAUAACAUACUGUUUCUAGCAAUUCCGAAAUAACUAAUUAACCAAAAUAUGUUAAACUGAAAGAGAGACAUGCUAAAAGUCAGUGAGCAAGUAGUAACAUGAUACUAAAAAAAUGACAACUUCAACCAAGAAUCUCGAAAAGUAGCACUUAGACAUGGAAUUUAGGGCUUUUUACAUAUAAUAGUCAUAUCACAUAAGCAAACUCAAAUAGCAGAGAAUCAGACAAAGAGAUCAAUCACACUUCAUUAAUUCCUAAUCCAAAAUCUGUGAAAGAAAAGGGAAGAAGAAGCAGUAUAAAAAUAAACACAGAUAUCUAAUUAUUUGGUUAAACCUGUGGAUGGGUUUAUUAGACACAUCAUUUUAAGAAACAGGCAGUGCCGGCGACUGGCGGCGACUGGCGGCGUUGGUGGCGGAGCAGAUCUGGGUUACGGGGAGAAAAGAUCAGAGGAGAUGGAGGCGGAGGACUGAGCCGCAGGGCGACGACAUCAUCAUUGUGGCUGGUGGCUGGACCGAUCUUGCCGGAUGCAUGGCAUUUUGCACAGCGACAACCGGCAGCGCUGAAGGGGAGAGAACGACGGCCAUGGUUGUUUUCUGGAAGGGUUCGACGGCUGGGGAAGGCUGGUCAUCGUUGUUUUAGCCAUUGAUGGCGCCGGUGGUCUGGCGGAUCUGGCUGGUCGGCCGCAUGGCGGUGGUAGAUAUGGGUUCGACUGAGGGAGGCGGUGACAUGGAUGGAGUUCUUCGGUUUGGGGUGGCCGGAGAUGGUGGCGGCUGCCAUGGUUAUUGAGGGAGAGAGAUAGAGAUAGAGAGAAGAUAGAGAAAGCGUAAGUGGGUGUUUGGCAUUGCUUAUGAGUUGGUUUAUAAGCAUCUUUUGGCUUAAAAAGUGUUU